GGGAUGGACGCGGGGCGGGCAGUCAGAGGCUGAAGGAUCGGGAUCCCCAGCCCUCCGUGCCCGUCGGGGUGGAGUCAGUUGGACCUCCUCUAACUUCGAGAGUCCAGGUUGGUGGGAAAGGACCUUGGAGAUCAGCACGCCCGCCCCCGCCGCCCCGCCACGGCCUCUGACUGCAUUUGUAGAAGCGGAAACCCAGCAGCGCCCUCAUGUGCUCAAGGAUGCUUUCUGUGGGCAAGAGUGGUGCCCCAAACCCAGCUCUCCGUCGGACCCAGUUUGGUACCCCUGGGAGAAGUGGAGCCAGCAGACCCAGAAGGACCCACCUCCUUCUUUCUCCGCCCAUUUUCCUGCCCUUUUUACUGCAGUGAACUGCUCUCAGAAUUGGGGAGCGGACACCAAGAGCAACUUGACUGCCUGCUCUCGAGAUGUCAUUAUCAGGAGUUAUAUCUGCCCAGCCUUACACAGAUCAGCUGGCAGGCUGCAGAGCUUGUGAACUUUUUCUAUCUGGGGGUUGUAAAGACAGAAAAGUAAAGACUACGAGGCUCUUCAGAAGAUGCUUUAAUGGAAAUCAUCAUCUCCUCUUUAGUCAUUCCAAGAGCAUCCACUUUGAUGUGGUUGAGAAAUAUCGUGAAGGUGAUUCCGUGUUCAACUCUAGCCACAGCUCAGCAGCUUGGCAAACUGUCUCCUCAUUUUCCACAGGUAAAUUGUCACUAAUGAGAGUGCCUAUCAGUAGGUCAGGUGGAGGCUGCAUGGAGGCUUUCUGGUGGUACCCAGAAGCGAACUUGUGCCCACCAAUUUUUAGCAUUUUAAUUCCUUACAACCGAAGGGGUCGGCCAAACUCAACAAUUCUCCUCAUUUAUUAUUUUUAAAUUAAAUAUUCUUGACAUUGUUGCAACACAUAUUCUACCUGUAGGAAGCACGUUGUUUCAUAAAACUGUUCUACGGUGCUGUCAUUUAUUGCCGCGUGACCAUGUGUGCACACGUUACUCUUAAGUAUAAGGCAGUGUAGUGACACCAAUGUUCCCUGGGUGUGAGUGUGUCUACUAUCACUAGUUCAUUCAUAAACAUGGCCGGGAAUAAGAAAUACACACUGCAAGAAUCAACUUAUCGCAAGGGAGUUCAGUGCCGUCAAUGGCGAAUAAUAGGCCAGUGAGGAGCUGCUCUUUGUUAGUUUUAACUGUUCCAGCAGACACAGCAUAUUCAAGAUUGAUCUCUUCUCGUUGUGAUGCACAUGACUGUAUUCUAUUACUAUCUUUAGGACCGGACUGGAAAAGUCAGUCUUUCUAAUGAUAGAGGAUCAAGUGAAUGAUUCCUAAGUAAAGAAAGGAGGAUCUUCAUGUGAUCUUUUUUUUUUUG